rnacentral:miRNA from 1 species
GAGGCAGUUUGGCUCUCGUUCUCUCACCUCUCUCUCUCCUGCACACAUAUACACACACACACACACACAGAGAGAGAGAGAGAGAGAGAGAGAGAGAGGU